AGCGAACGCUGGCGGCAGGCCUAACACAUGCAAGUCGAACGAAGCCUUCGGGCUUAGUGGCGGACGGGUGAGUAACACGUGGGAACGUACCUUUGGGUUCGGAACAACUCAGGGAAACUUGAGCUAAUACCGGAUGAGCCCUUAGGGGGAAAGAUUUAUCGCCGAAAGAGCGGCCCGCGUUAGAUUAACUAGUUGGUGAGGUAAAGGCUCACCAAGGCAACGAUCUAUAGCUGGUCUGAGAGGAUGAUCAGCCACACUGGGACUGAGACACGGCCCAGACUCCUACGGGAGGCAGCAGUGGGGAAUCUUGCGCAAUGGGCGAAAACCUGACGCAGCCAUGCCGCGUGAAUGAUGAAGGUCUUAGGAUUGUAAAAUUCUUUUACCAGGGACGAUAAUGACGGUACCUGGAGAAAAAGCCCCGGCUAACUUCGUGCCAGCAGCCGCAGUAACAC
rnacentral:rRNA from 1 species